UAAGACAGAGGGGGCAAGCGUUGCUCGGAAUCACUGGGCGUAAAGGGCGCGUAGGCGGGAUGGCAAGUCAGUCGUGAAAUCUCUCGGCUCAACCGAGAAACGUCGGCUGAUACUGCCGUUCUUGAGGGAUGCAGAGGAGACUGGAAUUCCCGGUGUAGCGGUGAAAUGUGUAGAGAUCGGGAGGAACACCGGUGGCGAAGGCGGGUCUCUGGGCAUUUCCUGACGCUGAGGCGCGAAAGCGUGGGGAGCAAACGGGAUUAGAUACCCUGGUAGUCCACGCCGUAAACGAUGAAUGCCAGCCGUUAGUGGGUUUACUCACUAGUGGCGCAGCUAACGCUUUAAGCAUUCCGCCUGGGGAGUACGGUCGCAAGAUUA
rnacentral:rRNA from 1 species